rnacentral:rRNA from 1 species
UACGUAGGGUGCGAGCGUUGUCCGGAAUUACUGGGCGUAAAGAGCUCGUAGGUGGUUUGUCGCGUUGUUCGUGAAAACUCACAGCUUAACUGUGGGCGUGCGGGCGAUACGGGCAGACUGGAGUACUGCAGGGGAGACUGGAAUUCCUGGUGUAGCGGUGAAAUGCGCAGAUAUCAGGAGGAACACCGGUGGCGAAGGCGGGUCUCUGGGCCGUAACUGACGCUGAGGAGCGAAGGCAUGGGGAGCGAACAGG